rnacentral:rRNA from 1 species
UUUUUAUAAGGAUAACUACGGAAAAGCUGUAGCUAAUACUUGAACGAUUGUAUGGUAAAUAUCUUCGGACAUUCUUACUUAUACAUGUAUUUGUUAAUCCUAAGAAAAAAAAGUUAUUAAGUGAUGAAUUAAAACAAAGAAGCAACACAUAAUAAAUUUAUAUUAUUAUUGUGUAUCAAUCGAGUUUCUGACCUAUCAGCUUUUGAUGUUAAGGUAUUGGCCUAACAUGGCUAUGACGGGUA